AUAACGAAGAGUUUGAUCCUGGCUCAGGACGAACGCUGGCGGCGUGGAUUAGGCAUGCAAGUCGAACGCGAAAGUAUUUCUUCGGAGAUACGAGUAGAGUGGCGGACGGGUGAGUAACGCGUAAAUGAUCUACCUUUAAGCGAGGGACAGCCCCGGGAAACCGGGAUUAAUACCUCAUGUGAAGCUACCAAUUAUGUAUUUUUAAUUUUGUAUUUUAUGCUAAUGUUUGGUUAUUUUUGAGUUAGCAAAUUUUAAUUUGCAACUUUGCAAGGUUAAGAGUUCAUAAUUGGUGGCUUUAAAGAUUGCCUCUGUUUACAAGCAAUCGCUUAGAGAUGAGUUUGCGUCCUAUUAGCUAGUUGGUAAGGUAAGGGCUUACCAAGGCGAUGAUAGGUAGGCGGCUUUAACGAGUGGUCGCCCACACUGGGAUUGAGAUACGGCCCAGACUCCUACGGGAGGCAGCAGUCGAGAAUAGUCUACAAUGGACGAAAGUCUGAUAGUGCGACGCCGCGUGGAUGAAGAAGCAUUUCGGUGUGUAAAGUCCUUUUUUAUGUGAGCAAUGUUUUAUAUAUGAAUAGUAUGUAGAGAGAGAUAUUAGCAUAAGAAUAAGCUCCGGCUAACUCCGUGCCAGCAGCCGCGGUAACACGGGGGGAGCAAGCGUUGUCCGGAAUUACUAGGCGUAAAGGGUAAGCAGGCUGAUAUAUAAGUCAGAUGUUAAAGGCAUUGGCUCAACCAAUGUACGGCGUUUGAUACUGUAUAUCUAGAGUAAGAUAUGGGAAGACGGAAUUCCUGGUGUAGCGGUGGAAUGCGCAGAUAUCAGGAAGAACACCGGUGGCGAAGGCGGUCUUCUGGGUCAUUACUGACGCUGAAUUACGAAGGUGUGGGUAUCAAACAGGAUUAGAUACCCUGGUAGUCCACACAGUAAACGAUAUACACUAGAUGUUGGGAGAGAUAAAUCUUUCAGUGUCGUAGCUAACGCGUUAAGUGUAUCGCCUGGGGAGUACGAUCGCAAGGUUAAAACUCAAAGGAAUUGACGGGGCCCCGCACAAGCGGUGGAGCAUGUGGUUUAAUUCGAUGCAACGCG
rnacentral:rRNA from 1 species